UACGUAGGUGGCGAGCGUUGUCCGGAAUUACUGGGUGUAAAGGGCGUGUAGGCGGGUUGGCAAGUCAGAUGUGAAACCCCUCGGCUUAACUGAGGGACUGCAUCUGAAACUGCUGAUCUUGAGUGCUGGGGAGGAAAGCGGAAUUCCCAGUGUAGCGGUGAAAUGCGUAGAGAUUGGGAGGAACACCAGUGGCGAAGGCGGCUUUCUGGACAGUAACUGACGCUGAGGCGCGAAAGCGUGGGGAGCAAACAGGAUUAGAUACCCCCGUA
rnacentral:rRNA from 1 species